UACGGAAGGGGCUAGCGAUGUUCGGAAUUACUGGGCGUAAAGAGCUCGUAGGCGGCUUACCAAGUUGGGGGUGAAAUCCCGGAGCUCAACUCCGGAACUGACUUCAAAACUGGUAGGCUCGAGUCCGGAAGAGGGGCGUGGAAUUCCCAGUGUAGAGGUGAAAUUCGUAGAUAUUGGGAAGAACACCGGUGGCGAAGGCGGCGCCCUGGUCCGGUACUGACGCUGAGGCGUUAAAGCGUGGGGAGCAAACAGG
rnacentral:rRNA from 1 species